UUAUAGCUCACUGAUCGAGUCGUCCUGCGCGGAAGAUGUAACGGGGCUAAGCCAGUUACCGAAGCUGCGGAUGUGCAAUUUAUUGCACGUGGUAGGAGAGCGUUCUGUAAGCCUGUGAAGGUGGCUUGUGAAGGCUGCUGGAGGUAUCAGAAGUGCGAAUGCUGACAUGAGUAGCGUUAAAGGGGGUGAAAAGCCCCCUCGCCGAAAGCGCAAGGUUUCCUACGCAACGUUCAUCGGCGUAGGGUGAGUCGGCCCCUAAGGCGAGGCAGAGAUGCGUAGCUGAUGGGAAACAGGUCAAUAUUCCUGUACCGAUGUGUAGUGCGAUGUGGGGACGGAGAAGGUUAACUCAGCCGGGUGUUGGAUGUCCCGGUUCAAGCGUGUAGUCAUAUCCCUUAGGCAAAUCCGGGGGAAUUAGAUGAGGCGUGAUAACGAGGCGGCUUGCCGCUGAAGUGAGUGAUACCCUGCUUCCAGGAAAAGCCACUAAGCUCCAGCUACACACGACCGUACCGCAAACCGACACUGGUGCGCGAGAUGAGUAUUCUAAGGCGCUUGAGAGAACUCUGGAGAAGGAACUCGGCAAAUUGACACCGUAACUUCGGAAGAAGGUGUGCCUUUAGUAGGUGAUCCAUUUACUUGGUGAGCCCAAUAAGGCCGCAGAGAAUCGGUGGCUGCAACUGUUUAUUAAAAACACAGCACUCUGCAAAGACGAAAGUCGACGUAUAGGGUGUGACUCCUGCCCGGUGCUGGAAGAUUAAAUGAUGGGGUGCAAGCUCUUGACUGAAGUCCCAGUAAACGGCGGCCGUAACUAUAACGGUCCUAAGGUAGCGAAAUUCCUUGUCGGGUAAGUUCCGACCUGCACGAAUGGAGUAAUGAUGGCCACACUGUCUCCCCCAGAGACUCAGCGAAGUUGAAAUGUUUGUGAUGAUGCAAUCUCCCCGCGGAAAGACGGAAAGACCCCAUGAACCUUUACUGUAGCUUUACAUUGGACUUUGAACAGAUCUGUGUAGGAUAGGUGGGAGGCUUUGAAGCGGUGCCGCUAGGUGUCGUGGAGCCAACGUUGAAAUACCACCCUGGUGUGUUUGAGGUUCUAACCUUGGCCCGUUAUCCGGGUUGGGGACAGUGUAUGGUGGGCAGUUUGACUGGGGCGGUCUCCUCCCAAAGCGUAACGGAGGAGUUCGAAGGUACGCUAGGCACGGUCGGAAAUCGUGCUGAUAGUGCAUAGGCAUAAGCGUGCUUGACUGCGAGACUGACAAGUCGAGCAGGUACGAAAGUAGGACUAAGUGAUCCGGUGGUUCUGUAUGGAAGGGCCAUCGCUCAACGGAUAAAAGGUACUCUGGGGAUAACAGGCUGAUACCGCCCAAGAGUUCAUAUCGACGGCGGUGUUUGGCACCUCGAUGUCGGCUCAUCUCAUCCUGGGGCUGUCGA
rnacentral:rRNA from 1 species